rnacentral:rRNA from 1 species
GACGAACGCUGGCGGCGUGCUUAACACAUGCAAGUCGAACGGUGAAGCGCCUUCCUUUUUGGUGGGUGUGGAUGAGUGGCGAACGGGUGAGUAACACGUGAGUAACCUGCCCCCUUCUUCUGGAUAACCGCAUGAAAGUGUGGCUAAUACGGGAUAUUCUGGGUCUGUCGCAUGAUGGGUCUGGGAAAGAUAUUGUUUCGGUGGGGGAUGGGCUCGCGGCCUAUCAGCUUGUUGGUGGGGUGAUGGCCUACCAAGGCGGUGACGGGUAGCCGGCCUGAGAGGGUGGACGGUCACACUGGGACUGAGACACGGCCCAGACUCCUACGGGAGGCAGCAGUGGGGAAUAUUGCACAAGGGGCGCAAGCCUGAUGCAGCGACGCCGCGUGAGGGAUGGAGGCCUUCGGGUUGUGAACCUCUUUCGCCAGUGAAGCAGGCCUGCCUCGUUUGUGGGUGGGUUGACGGUAGCUGGAUAAGAAGCGCCGGCUAACUACGUG